UGGUGGCCAUGCAAUUCUUAGUUGGACCUGCUUCAAAUCUGCCAUGCAUCAAAUCAAGAUAUCAUCAAUAUUAUGGCCGUAACCUGAAACCAAUUAACAGGCAACAGUACCAAGGCAUGCAUGCAUGGUUGAUGAGAUUUCGAAUCUUGGGAAUGUUUUACCAGAUCUGGAAUUCAAACAAAGGACUCCUACGGGAUCUUAUCCGAUCCUCAGCUGCCAGGUUUUGUCUGCUAACUUACAAUGUUCCUCCGAAUCUACUUUUCACUCCUCUCUCUCUCUCUCUCUCUCUCAUCUCUCAUCUUUCUAUUUCUUCCAUUUGCAUCACUUUUUCUUUAUCACUGAUUGAGUAUAUUAACCACACUGUCUGUAGAAAUCACAUACCCUUUUGCUAU